AAAUCAAUUGAAAAUUGUGGAAUAAAUGAAUCCUAAUUUCUUUCGUGUCAAUUGAAACCUUAAAUCGAGUUGUUGAAAAUUUUGCCUUUUGCUUAUGUCUAAGUAGGGAGCAUUAUUGAAUAAAUUUGGUUUUGGAAUCUAAAGUUGGGGAGAGUAAAGUGAAAAGUUGAUUAGAAACUUGGAAAAGUGAAUUUUUAUGAAAGGGUGAAAAUUUGAAAAGAAACAAGAAAAAGAAAAUACCCUUGAAACC
rnacentral:lncRNA from 1 species